CCAGGCUAUUAGAUCACGCCAACAGUCUUUUCUUCCCCUGUGGGUAAAUAAUGAUGAGAUGUGGCUCUCUCAGCUCCUAUGAAAAUGAUGCAUACUGUUCAACAGAGCCCUUGAGUGUCAUUGCAGAACACUCAGCAGCAAGCAUGAAACAUGUCCUUAAAGUGAAGAUGGUUUUUAUCACAUAGUAGUGGAAGCUUUGAAGCAGCCAGGAGAGAAGGUUUUAAGAAGAGGUUGCAGAAAUAAUGUAGGAAUAGUCACCAUUGUCUUGUCAUGAGAAGUCAAAUUACAAAUGAAAUUGAUGCUUGUUUAUUAUUAUUAUUUACUGUUCGUUUAUUUUUGUUUCAUUUUCAAUAUUAACA
rnacentral:lncRNA from 1 species